rnacentral:lncRNA from 1 species
AGAGACGAAACUCAAGCACCUUCGGCGGCACCUUCGGCGGCCGAAUCCCCCAAACAGAGCCGAACAUGCAAAAACACUCGGGGGCAAGCUGUGGCAACCAUGUCACCAUGCAGGAGGUUCGGCGGCCGAAUGAACUUUCGGCUGCCGAACCUGAGUUCAUCCAGAACUCAGUUUCAAUGGCAAACCAUCUCCCUCUUUCCUUCAACUUCUCAAACCAUGCAAACUUCACUUCCUCAACAUACAUAUACUCAUGUAUAUGAUCACAGGGGUCCAAAACUAGCUAAUAACCCCAAACAACAAAACAAACAUACAUAUAAACAUGUAACCAUGCAUAAUUCUUUAAAACUACCAUUAAUACCCUAAGCAUGCAUCUCCUUCCUU